rnacentral:rRNA from 1 species
UACGAGGGGGGGCAAGCGUUGUUCGGAAUUAUUGGGCGUAAAGGGCGCGUAGGCGGUUUGACAAGUCUGAUGUGAAAUCUCUGGGCUCAACCCCAGAGUCUGCAUUAGAAACUGUCGGGCUUGAGUAUGGGAGAGGUGAGUGGAAUUUCCGGUGUAGCGGUGAAAUGCGUAGAUAUCCGGAAGAACACCGGUGGCGAAGGCG